rnacentral:rRNA from 1 species
AGAGUUUGAUCAUGGCUCAGAACGAACGUUAGCGGCGCGCUUAACACAUGCAAGUCGAGCGAGAAAGGGGCAACCCCGGUAAAGCGGCGCACGGGUGAGUAACACGUAGGUAAUUUACCCCCAGGUGGUGGAUAACCCUCCGAAAGGAGAGCUAAUACAGCAUAAGACCACGGUCUCGAAAGAGAUUGAGGUCAAAGCCGGCCUCUUCAUGAAAGCUGGCGCCAGGGGAUGAGCCUGCGGCCCAUCAGCUAGUUGGUAGGGUAAUGGCCUACCAAGGCGAAGACGGGUAGCUGGUCUGAGAGGAUGAUCAGCCACACUGGAACUGAGACACGGUCCAGACUCCUACGGGAGGCAGCAGUGGGGAAUCUUGCGCAAUGGGCGAAAGCCUGACGCAGCGACGCCGCGUGAGUGAUGAAGGCCUUCGGGUUGUAAAGCUCUGUGGAGAGGGACGAAUAAGUGUUGGCUAACAUCCAGCAUGAUGACGUACCCUCUUUAGCAAGCACCGGCUAACUCUGUGCCAGCAGCCGCGGUAAGACAGAGGUGCAAACGUUGUUCGGAAUUACUGGGCGUAAAGCGCGUGUAGGCUGUUCUGCAAGUCGGGUGUGAAAGCCCCGGGCUCAACCUGGGAAGUGCACUCGAAACUGCAGAACUCGAGUCCUGGAGAGGAAGGCGGAAUUCUCGGUGUAGAGGUGAAAUUCGUAGAUAUCGAGAGGAACACCGGUGGCGAAGGCGGCCUUCUGGACAGUGACUGACGCUGAGACGCGAAAGCGUGGGGAGCAAACAGGAUUAGAUACCCUAGUAGUCC